rnacentral:rRNA from 1 species
CGUAGGGUGCAGGCGUUAAUCGGAAUUACUGGGCGUAAAGCGUGCGCAGGCGGUUUCUUAAGUCAGAUGUGAAAGCCCCGGGCUUAACCUGGGAGCUGCGUUUGAAACUGGGAGACUAGAGUGUGGCAGAGGGGGGUGGAAUUCCACGUGUAGCAGUGAAAUGCGUAGAUAUGUGGAGGAACACCGAUGGCGAAGGCAACCCCCUGGGUUAACACUGACGCUCAUGCACGAAAGCGUGGGGAGCAAACAGGAUUAGAUACCCUGGUAGUCCACGCCCUAAACUAUGUCAACUGGUUGUCGGGGGAUUAAUUCCCUUGGUAACGAAGCUAACGCGUGAAGUUGACCGCCUGGGGAGUACGGCCGCAAGGUUA